rnacentral:rRNA from 1 species
GACGAACGCUGGCGGCGUGCUUAACACAUGCAAGUCGAACGGAAAGGCCCUGCUUUUGUGGGUUGCUCGAGUGGCGAACGGGUGAGUAACACGUGAGUAACCUGCCCUUGACUUUGGGAUAACUUCAGGAAACUGGGGCUAAUACCGGAUAGGAGCUCCUGCUGCAUGGUGGGGGUUGGAAAGUUUCGGCGGUUGGGGAUGGACUCGCGGCUUAUCCGCUUGUUGGUGGGGUAGUGGCUUACCAAGGCUUUGACGGGUAGCCGGCCUGAGAGGGUGACCGGCCACAUUGGGAAUGAGAUACGGCCCAGACUCCUACGGGAGGCAGCAGUGGGGAAUAGUGCACAAUGGGCGGAAGCCUGAUGCAGCAACGCCGCGUGCGGGAUGACGGACUUCGGGUUGUAAACCGCUUUCGCCUGUGACGAAGAGUGAGUGACGGUAAUGGGUAAAGAAGCACCGGCUAACUACGUG